GGAAUAUGAAAGAUUCUAUCCAACUUGUCUUAGAAAAUGUACCUUGGGAACAAGCUUUUAGUACAAUGAUUUUAUAUUGUGAAAAUGUGCUAUACAAUGGUUUAUGUGUUAUCACAAUAUGAUAAAAUGCAUGAUAUGCAUUGGAUGCUUCUUUGCAUGUUGAUUUGGACCCGGCUAUGUGCGAGUAGGAGUGCACAUAAGCCGUUGUUGACCCGACUAUGUGCGAGUAGGAGUGCACAUAAGCCGUUGCUGACCCGGCUAUGUGUGAGUGGG
rnacentral:lncRNA from 1 species